UACAGAGGUCUCAAGCGUUGUUCGGAAUUAUUGGGCGUAAAGGGUGCGUAGGCGGUUCGGUCAGUUGGGUGUGAAAAGUCGAGGCUCAACCUCGAAAUGGCACCCAAUACUACCGGGCUAGAGCACUGCAUAGGAAGCUGGAACUUACGGUGUAGCAGUGAAAUGCGUAGAUAUCAGGAGGAACACCGAUGGCGAAGGCAGCUCGCUGGGACGGUACUGACGCUGAGACGCGAAAGCGUGGGGAGCAAACAGG
rnacentral:rRNA from 1 species